UGACGGCGCACCAAGGCGACGACGGGUAGCCGGCCUGAGAGGACGACCGGCCACCCUGGGACUGAGACACGGCACAGACUCCUACUGUAGGCAGCAGUGGGGAAUAUUGCGCAAUGGGCGAAAGCCUGACGCAGCGACGCCGCGUGGUGGAUGAAGGCCUUCGGGUUGUAAACCCCUUUCAGCAGGAACGAAGCGAAAGUGACGGUACCUGCAGAAGAAGCGCCGGCUAACUACGUGCCAGCAGCCGCGGUAACACGUAGGGCGCAAGCGUUGUCCGGAAUUAUUGGGCGUAAAGAGCUGGUAGGCGGUCUGCUACGUCCGCUGUGAAAACUAGGGCUUAACCCUGGGCUUGCAGUAGAUACGGGCAGACUAGAGGUAGGUAGGGGAGAAUGGAAUUCCCGGUGGAGCGGUGAAAUG
rnacentral:rRNA from 1 species